rnacentral:rRNA from 1 species
AAGCAUAUCAAUAAGCGGAGGAAAAGAAACCAACAGGGAUUGCCUCAGUAACGGCGAGUGAAGCGGCAACAGCUCAAAUUUGAAAUCUGGCCCUAGGCCCGAGUUGUAAUUUGCAGAGGAUGUUUCUGGCGAGGUGCCUUCCGAGUUCCCUGGAACGGGACGCCAUAGAGGGUGAGAGCCCCGUACGGUUGGUCGCUAAGCCUCUGUGAAACUCCUUCGACGAGUCGAGUAGUUUGGGAAUGCUGCUCUAAAUGGGAGGUAUACGUCUUCUAAAGCUAAAUACCGGCCAGAGACCGAUAGCGCACAAGUAGAGUGAUCGAAAGAUGAAAAGCACUUUGAAAAGAGGGUUAAAUAGUACGUGAAAUUGUUGAAAGGGAAGCGCUUAUGACCAGACUUGGACCGGUUGAUCAUCCAUCGUUCUCGGUGGUGCACUCUGCCGGUUCAGGCCAGCAUCAGUUCGUCCCGGGGGAUAAAGGCUUUGGGAAUGUGGCUCUUCGGAGUGUUAUAGCCCACUGCGUAAUACCCUGGGAUGGACUGAGGUUCGCGCUCCGCAAGGAUGCUGGCGUAAUGGUCAUCAGUGACCCGUCUUGAAACACGGACCAAGGAGUCGUCUUCGUAUGCGAGUGUUCGGGUGUCAAACCCCUACGCGUAAUGAAAGUGAACGUAGGAGAGAGCUUCGGCGCAUCUCCGACCGAUCCUGAUGUUCUCGGAUGGAUUUGAGUAAGAGCAUACGGGGCCGGACCCGAAAGAAGGUGAACUAUGCUUGUAUAGGGUGAAGCCAGAGGAAACUCUGGUGGAGGCUCGCAGCGGUUCUGACGUGCAAAUCGAUCGUCAAAUAUGAGCAUGGGGGCGAAAGACUAAUCGAACCUUCUAGUAGCUGGUUU